AAGGACUGAACUGAAUCUGAAGUUGUGUUGCUUUGUCGCCAUUUGUCGAAAGGUGGGGCCUGGGUCCGACCGUGUCCACCAUCGGCUCUUCUCGUUUCUCGGAUUGCGCAAACACUUGAAUGGCCUCAUGGACCCCUUUCACGUCGACCUUUAAUCUUACCCCCCUCAUCGUGAAUCAAGAAUCUGUACACAGUACAUCGUUCCCCUCAACGAAUCUUCGCUACGGCAGAAGUCGCGUUACCAAUGUGACUGAACCGAAGGUCGUCGCGCAGUGUGUUCAUAUGGUGCCUGCGGGAUCGGAUCUAGUGCCCGGAGAAGGGCUCGUGUGGACUGGCCGAAAUUUCAAGGGUAAUCCAUGUUUCGGCUUAGCCAGAACGCGAGGCGGUUACCCAGGAGGAUGGACGCCGCUGAACUCUUCAUUUCAGCUCGUUCAUUUGCUAAACACGCCUGAUAGGUGUGUCUCCAUGACCUGUUGGCAAAGGGACGCCCUGUUAAUUACCUCUAAUUUGAACGCGUCAGAAGACGGAGCUAAUGUUUCAUUCGAGCGUCCCGGACAAUUGACUUCGUCCGAUAGGGGUGCAGGUGAUGCACCUUAAAAAAUACUCCGACAGAACGGAACCGUACGAGACCCCUCUAGGUACACAAUCCAUUGCCUAAAUGCUGGUUAGCGCUAAUGGAAAUCGAAGGCACGCAUCGGAAGCCGCCUAUAAACGACGAUCGAGACAAAAGCGGUCGGAAUCUAUGAUUUUAUUGAGAUUCAAUGAAGCGGCAGAUGUUGAAUCCAUUCAACGGAAGAUAACACGAACGUAAAAUGUAAACUUGUACAUGAGCAGAACGUAUUUGUGAGAAAAUUAUUAUACUACUUAAGGACACGCUCAAGGACUGAAGACAAAUCAAGGCGCACCUCAAAGCCGAGUUCACUUGAGCUUGUUCUAACGGACCUUCUAUCAGAAACGCGGUCCUUGGAAGUUCUUUAUAGAUGCUUUACUAAUUGUACUUGCAUGAUAUAUUUGUGAAGAUUAUUUGGAUCCCCAUUGUGUUUCAGGAUACUACGGUUUCUGACGUGCUAUUUUAUUGAAAUCCGGAUAAGAAGCUCGAAAUCGCAAAACAACUUCCAUUUUCUAACGUUGCCCGAAAUUGCGUCCAAGAGAUCUAUUAUAUAAUAUUGAUGUUUAAACUACUGGAACACUUUGGCGAUUCCUCAACUAGAGUGGGCAAUAGCAAGCCCAAAUAAGUAUGAUCUUCCAUAUUAAAUCUAUAAUAGCUCAACAAAAGCAGGCUUAGCAAAAUGUCUAUCUGUAUAUGCAUAUCAGUAUUUUCGAACUGUUUGUUUACAAUGGAGUUACAAUGGUUUCGACGCUGUAGCAGAACUUGUUGAACAUUUUGACAUGGUUAACAACAAUGUAAGGAAAGCUGAGUUCUUCCUUGCAGGGAUUUCGUAAUGACUGCAGAAUAUUUUUCUCUCAUUUGUC